GGGAACGCCGCCUCCGGCCUGCUCUCCAGCUGCGGAGUGAACUGGGAAGGUUUGCAAUUAAAAAAAAAAAAUUAUGUGUGAGGUUCCCGAUAUAGUAUUUCAAAGAGCACACCCGCCAAAUCCAACAUCCUCUAGGAGGCUGACUUUAAAAAAAAAAAAAAAAAAAAAACAACAGCGCGCCGGGCUCCCCUGGCCCCCGCAGGCUCGGGGCAGAGGCGGGGAGGCAGGUGGUCCAGGUGCGCCCCUGCCCGGGGGGGCGAGGCGUCCGGCGGGAAGGCUGCAGCGACCGCAUGGAGGAAGGGGCGGCAGGUGCGCGGCGCUGGAAGAACCGGCGGCUGGGAGAGCAUCUCUGCCUCGCCCAUCUUGCCCCCUCCCCACCUCCGCUCUGGCGUUGGGACGGGAGGAGGAGGGAGGAAUGGAACCAGGGAGUCCGAAGUACAGCUUUGACAACUGUCGCGCUGGCCGGGUAAUUUAAUUCCAACCUUUUUAACCUCCUGAAAAUCUGCCUUUUAUUUUACUGUUUAAUGUUUUUUGUGUCCAUGGUGUAGAAAAACUACGGCGCUAGUAUAGUGCUGGUGUGUGCUAAAUUAGAGUUCCCAAGGCACAAUAUAGAAUUUUUUGGUUUGCAUAAACUUUGCUAACCAAAGUAUUAAAGCACCUUCAAAAAUGUACUUAGGCUGGCCAGGGCUCACGCCUGUAAUGCCAGCACUGUGGGAGGCCGAGGCGGGCGGAUCACCUGAGGUCCGGAGUUGGACACCAGCCUGGCUAACGUGGUGAAAUCCCGUCUCUACAAAAAAUACAAAAUUAGCCGGGCGUGGUGGCGCAUGCCUGACAUCCCAGCUGCUUGGGAGGCUGAGGCGGGAGAAUAGCUUGAACCCGGGAGGCGGAGGUUGCAGUGAGCCAAGAUCGUGCCAUUGCACUCCAGCUUGGGCAACAAGAGCGAAACUCAGUCUCAAAAAAAAAAAAAAAAAAAAAGAAGAAGAAGAAAAAUGUACUUAAGCUAUUGCCAAAAAAAUUUUGGAAGUCUGUUUUUUAAAUCUAUAUUUCAAUUCUUUGCAAAAAGUGGAAAAAUUAAAGAAUUUUAGCAUUGUGUUCUUGAAGAUUAGAGAGCAUUCAUUAAUAUAAAACUACUGCAAAGACAGGUAGAAUCCCAUUUUAACAUACACAUAAAAAUCAAGUUUUAUAGGAGGCCAUUCCCACACCCUGGCUGGCCUCCCAGAGUGUGCCUACUUCGCUGAUGGGGAUACAAGGCAUUCUUUGAGAUGGGAAAUUCUUCAAACCACAUCUUUAUGUUGCAGCAAGGGAUAGGAUGAUGAUGAUGAUAUUGAAAGAAAAAGACUUUAAUAAAGUACAGAACCUUUUUUUUUCUUUUUGCGAAAUCAUGUUAUAGAAAUGAGUAAUGCCGCAAUGGAAUACAUAUAAUUAAAGUUAAAUCUUUUUCUUCAGUAUUAGUGACAGGUUUUGUCUGGAGUAGUUGAGUUGAUAUUUCAAAUGAAUAAGUCUGCUUAAUUCCUGAAAUUCUUUAACUGCAGAAAUCACUGCUGGAAGUUUCUCUUAGUCUCCCUAAUUGUCACGGUUUUUGCAGCUGUGGAUCCUGUUCUACUAAAGAGAAAGUUAGAUGGUCAUGUUAAAGACGAUUUAGGCAAUUUCUUGGUUGGUGGGGAAGGUAAUGUUCAGGCAACGAAAUCUGCAAAAUUCUCUUCUAAUUCCUCUAUGGAAUCUUGAUGUUUUGCAAACACUCUUGGUUCUGAAAGCUAGAAAAAAAGAACUUUUUUCCGUAAAGAUGUAUAAUCACGGAUUCAUGAGUCACGAAAUGAGUGGUCUUACCUGAACUAUUGAGCCUUCUAGUGGAAUUGUUUCCAGAGUUGGAAGAAACAACAUUAAAUCCUCUUCCCAAGCUUGUCUGUGUCUGGCUGAACAUGAUGCUGAAAAGGAAAUGUGUCAGGACAGAUACUUUUUCUUCUGAGUUGUAUCUGGUUUCUACAGUUAAACAGUGGAAUCUAUCCUUGUUUGUUUUCUGGGCACAUUUAGAUAGUGUAUUCUUCCCACAUUAAGAAUGGCAUUUUUGGCCCACUUUACUUUGCCUUAAAUGCCCUGUGGUGCUGGGGGAAGUGGUGGGAGGAAGGAAAAUGAAGGAAAGAUAAAAUUUUAAGCUUUUAAGCAUCCAAUUCUGUAUGUCUGUAUGACAACACUGUAGUCAAUAUGGUAGCUCAAAAAGAACUGAAGCAUUCGCCUGUAUCUGAGUCAAGUCAGACGAUGGAUUCUUUUUUUCCACCUUACCAGGUUUUGUCACUCAUGCCAUCCCUAAUACCUCCUCCCGACUCCAGCACACACACAGUCUUCUCCCACUCCCACGCCCUGAGGAUUUGUUAGAGGAAAGCAAAGAGAUUCACAUUCCAUCCUGGAAGGUAACAAUUAUGGUGUCUGAUUAUCCUCUGAAGGCCCUCUGGAAGAGAUCAAACAGUUUCAAGGCUUUAGAGUGUUCUUGGAGGCAUCCCAGACAGGUGUAAGAAUGUGCUAACACAAAUAGUUGCCAUUCAGACCACUUUGGAUAUCUUUUGUUAAACGUCCAUGCAAUAGUUUUGGUUUCUCCUGGUGUGAUUUUAUUAUAAAUACCUGUAUAUUGAAAUUAUUCAUUUAUUCAGUACAGCUUGUUGAGCACCAAGAAUGUGCCAGGUUUAGGGCUGGAUGCUUGGAACACAAAGACAAGUAAGUCAUGGAUGGUUCCCUGCCCGCAGGGCUUUGCUAUAAAACAGUGAAAAUAAGGAGAACAGAAGGAAGUCUAAAAGACAAAGGAAAAUGUUUUGUCUCUGUUUAUAGUUUUGAUUGUCUUUUCAUGCACUCUAAAAGAUGAAUAUAAAAACUACUAAGGAAUGAGACUAUAUUAUUUUUGUAAUACUUCGUCGAAUGCAAAUAGUAAAAUAAAAAUAAUUUUCUUAUACAUGGAAAAUCACAUUUCAUGUUACAUUUCAUUAAGAGCCUAAAGGACAUGAGUGUAAUUUCCAAGAGGCAGAAUUUUUUAUUCACUGCUGUAUAUUCAGUGGCUAGAACAUUGGCUGACGCAUACUAGUCACUUAAUAAAUAUUUGCUGAAUAAAUGAAAUGGAAAAUAUGAACUAGCAGAAUUUUGUAUUUUGUAGAUGUUAUUAGUAUGAA
rnacentral:lncRNA from 1 species